rnacentral:misc_RNA from 1 species
AACGCACCUUGCACUCUUUGGUAUUCCGAAGAGUAUGCCUGUUUGAGUGUCAUUAAAUUCUCAAACCUUUUUGGCUUUAUUGGUCGAAAAGGCUUUGGAUGUGGGAGUUGCUGGAACUAGCCUUUCAGCUCUUCUUAAAUGUAUUAGCGGGUUACUGAUCUCCGCUACUUGGUGUUGAUAGUUUAUCUUACGCCUUGUAGUUGAAUCAACUUAUGUAGCUGCUUCUAAUCGUCGACUUAGUUGACAAUAUACUUGACUAUUUGACCUCAAAUCAGGUAGGACUACCCGCUGAACUUAA